GACGAACGCUGGCGGCGUGCCUAACACAUGCAAGUCGAGCGAAUGAAGUUCCUUCGGGAAUGGAUUUAGCGGCGGACGGGUGAGUAACACGUGGGCAACCUGCCUCAUAGAGGGGAAUAGCCUUCCGAAAGGGAGAUUAAUACCGCGUAAGAUUGUAGUAUCGCAUGAUACAGCAAUUAAAGGAGCAAUCCGCUAUGAGAUGGGCCCGCGGCGCAUUAGCUAGUUGGUGAGGUAACGGCUCACCAAGGCGACGAUGCGUAGCCGACCUGAGAGGGUGAUCGGCCACAUUGGGACUGAGACACGGCCCAGACUCCUACGGGAGGCAGCAGUGGGGAAUAUUGCACAAUGGGGGAAACCCUGAUGCAGCAACGCCGCGUGAGUGAUGACGGCCUUCGGGUUGUAAAGCUCUGUCUUCAGGGACGAUAAUGACGGUACCUGAGGAGGAAGCCACGGCUAACUACGUG
rnacentral:rRNA from 1 species